AAACUAUAAUUUAGAGCAGGCGAUGCAGCUGUAGACCUUUUAAGACAGUUGUGUGGGGCUGGGCCGAAACGGCAACAGGAUAUAAACCUGUGGGACUAAG
rnacentral:ncRNA from 23 species